GAUGAAGAACGUAGCGAAAUGCGAUAAGUAGUGUGAAUUGCAGAAUUCAGUGAAUCAUCGAAUCUUUGAACGCACAUUGCGCCCUUUGGUAUUCCAAAGGGCAUGCCUGUUCGAGCGUCAUUUGUACCCUCAACCUUUGCUUGGUGUUGGGCGUCUUGUCUCUAGCUUUGCUGGAGACUCGCCUUAAAGUAAUUGGCAGCCGGCCUACUGGUUUCGGAGCGCAGCACAAGUCGCACUCUCUAUCAGCAAAGGUCUAGCAUCCAUUAAGCCUUUUUUUCAACUUUUGACCUCGGAUCAGGUAGGGAUACCCGCUGCACUUAAGCAUAUCAAUAAGCGGAGGA
rnacentral:misc_RNA from 1 species